AAGGGAAUAUUGGUUAAUGUGCGAAAGCGCGAACCAGCAACGCCGCGUGUACGAAGAAGGCCUUCGGGUUGUAAAGUACUUUUCACCGGGAAGAGGAAGGACGGUACCGGUGGAAUAGGUCUGGCCUACUUCGUUGCCAGCAGCCGCGGUAACAGUAAGGGACCGACCGUUAUCGGGAUUUCUUGGGGGUAAAGCGCGUGCAGGCGGUCUGUUAAGUUGGAUGUGAAAGCACCCGGCUAAACUGGGAGAGGUCGUUCAAAACUGGCAGGCUAGAGUGUGGUAGAGGGGAGUGGAAUUCCGAGUGUAGCGGUAAAAUGCAUAGAUAUUCGGAAGAACACCAGUGGCGAAGGCGACUUCCUGGACCACAACUGACGCUCAGACGCGAAAGCCAGGGUAGCAAACGG
rnacentral:rRNA from 1 species